CGACCUCGUGGGAUAGGUGUGGGCGACAUUCCACGUCUGCUCCGCGCCGCAGCUAACGCAUUAAGUGCCCCGCCUGGGGAGUACGGCCGCAAGGCUAAAACUCAAAGGAAUUGACGGGGGCCCGCACAAGCGGCGGAGCAUGUGGCUUAAUUCGACGCAACGCGAAGAACCUUACCAAGGCUUGACAUACACCGGACAGCAUCGGAGAUGGUGCCCCCCUUGUGGUCCGUGUACAGGUGGUGCAUGGGUGUCGUCAGCUCGUGUCGUGAGAUGUUGGGUUAAGUCCCGCAACGAGCGCAACCCUUGUCCCGUGUUGCCAGCAGGCCCUUGUGGUGCUGGGGACUCACGACAGACCGCCGGGGUCAACUCGAAGGAAGGUGGGGACGACGUCCAGUCAUCAUGCCCCUUAUGUCUUGGGCUGCACGCGUGCUAGAAUGGCCGGUACAAUGAGCUGCGAUACCGCGAGGUGGAGCGAAUCUCAAAAAGCCGGUCUCAGUUCGGAUUGCGGUCUGCAACUCGACCCCAUGAAGUCGGAGUCGCUAGUAAUCGCAGAUCAGCAUUGCUGCGGUGAAUACGUUCCCGGGCCUUGUACACACCGCCCGUCACGUCAACGAAAGUCGGUAACACCCGAAGCCGGUGGCCCAACCCCUUGUGGGAGGGAGCUGUCGAAGGUGGGACUGACGAUUGGGACUAGCCGAAGAA
rnacentral:rRNA from 1 species